rnacentral:rRNA from 1 species
GGGUUGUGAGGUUAAGCGACUAAGCGUACACGGUGGAUGCCCUGGCAGUCAGAGGCGAUGAAGGACGUGCUAAUCUGCGAUAAGCGCCGGUAAGGUGAUAUGAACCGUUAUAACCGGCGAUUUCCGAAUGGGGAAACCCAGUGUGAUUCGUCACACUAUCAUUAACUGAAUCCAUAGGUUAAUGAGGCGAACCGGGGGAACUGAAACAUCUAAGUACCCCGAGGAAAAGAAAUCAACCGAGAUUCCCCCAGUAGCGGCGAGCGAACGGGGAGGAGCCCAGAGCCUGAAUCAGCAUGUGUGUUAGUGGAAGCGUCUGGAAAGGCGCGCGAUACAGGGUGACAGCCCCGUACACAAAAGCGCAUGUGCUGUGAGCUCGAUGAGUAGGGCGGGACACGUGGUAUCCUGUCUGAAUAUGGGGGGACCAUCCUCCAAGGCUAAAUACUCCUGACUGACCGAUAGUGAACCAGUACCGUGAGGGAAAGGCGAAAAGAACCCCGGCGAGGGGAGUGAAAAAGAACCUGAAACCGUGUACGUACAAGCAGUGGGAGCACCCUUCGGGGUGUGACUGCGUACCUUUUGUAUAAUGGG